AAUCCAAUGAGAGUCAGAAGGCAAUUCCUCGUGGUGCAGCUUCCCAUAAGAGGUGUGCGGGGUCCUUUUCAAUGAUGGAAGCUUACUGCCUUGCUGCUUACUUGCUUGUUCGAUGAUGUAAGGAUACUGCUGAGUCUUCAUGUGCUUUUGUUCCUGUGCUUAAAUCGAUUAAUAAAAUGUUUAAUAAUGGACGCACGAAAUAGCUGAUAGGAAACUUAAUCGUAAAGUCAUUAUGCUGUUGUUCUGAUCCGAAGGUGAGCACUGAGCAGAGCAUGCGUGAGAUGGCCCGUGCCGUGUUCAGGCCGCGCAGCGCGCUGGCGCCACCACACCGUCCGCUCUGCCGCUUUCCUACUUUUGUAGCUGCUAUAAGUAUUUCAUCAAUUCGAGACGAAGAUUUAACCCCAGGGCCAACGAAAAUCAAGAAGAAGCCAUGGGAAGUGCGGUGAAUUCGAAGUUCUGAGUGGAUCUAUACUUACAGGUAUGAGUGUAUGAGUCGUUUUUCUGGUAUUCCUUUCAAUCAUCUCUCUUUCAACUAAAUCGAGGAAGCUUACACUACUUACUGAUUCCUAAAUGAGAACUUAGUGAAGUUCCCAUAACUUACGAUGUUACAACAGAAUUGUCAUCAGACUCCUGUGACGGAAAAUGUCUUUUUGUCCGUCGCUUGACUUGCCUUGGAGACUCCACUAUGGACCAAGAUGUAUCUCUUUAUCCAUUCUUAUCUUAUCUAGUCAAUCUAUGAAUGCAGACCGGUUCUUAAAACUCUGUUGGUACGCCAGGACAAGAGAAGAAAUGUGUGAGCUUUGCGAUUGGAAGUCCUUGAUCUCCUAGGUCUGGACAUGCCGAAAUGAGUUUCAAUGAUCGAUUCCUGUGUGAGACAUGUUGACUGAAGCUAACUUUAAAGAAGGAGCCUCUGAGCACAGUGAAGAGUGUUUUACAGGUUUUGUUUCCCAAUCCCCUGCAUAUAGCAAGAACUGUGAAUAUUGUUGCUACGCCUAAAGAUCAUCCUAGUUUGGACUCCAUUGCCAGGUAUUUUCGGCCUAAAUUUCCUCCUCAAGAAUUGUAACUUCCUCAUUCCCCAAAUGUCCUGUAACUCUCUCCUUCUUUCACUUUCAUGUCGUUUAAUCUGUGAAGGAAAGAGUUAGUUUGUCUGCAUGUAGUCUUGCUGUGAUAAUGAGGCCAAAUUCAUAAUUUUGAAAGCUCACCUAGACAAUCUCUUCUCUUCCCUGCGAACCGAUAGCUAAGCCUCUGUUUCACUUGAUCAUUUCUCUUUCUUCAUUCAAUGGGCCAGUUGCACUGGUAACAGAAUCAUGUUUUGAUGCUUGGUUCUAGUAGAUCAGCUCUAAAUAUAAAGAUCUGUCUCAACAGCAACUCUCUACCUUGAAUAUUAGCGGAGAUAUCUCACCUUGACGAACUUGAUUUAUGAUGUCAUCCACUGCGGUAGUGCGUAACAUG